rnacentral:rRNA from 1 species
UACCAGCACCCCGAGUGGUCGGGACGAUUAUUGGGCCUAAAGCAUCCGUAGCCGGUCAUGCAAGUCUUCCGUUAAAUCCAGCCGCUCAACGGUUGGGCUGCGGAGGAUACUACGUGGCUAGGAGGCGGGAGAGGCAAGCGGUACUCAGUGGGUAGGGGUAAAAUCCUUUGAUCCAUUGAAGACCACCAGUGGCGAAGGCGGCUUGCCAGAAUGCGCUCGACGGUGAGGGAUGAAAGCUGGGGGAGCAACCGG